CGGCCCCCUCAGGGCUCGGCGCCUCGGUGUUUGAGUUGCUGGGUGUCCCCGAGCACCCACACAACGCGGUUCUCCUCGGGGAAAUGAGGCUCAUGACGGUGAGCCGUCCCUCGGGCAUCCCUGCCGGCGCCCCCGCUGACAGCCCGGGGCGCUGGUUUGUAAGGCUGCACAGCGCCCGGAGAACGAGGAUGGCUUAUUUGUGUUUAAUUCCGGAUGCGCCAAAUGUUUAAUGUCAGAAAAUCCGCGUAUUGUUUUUGAAAUGAGUUUCUAGUAAGAUCUAAGGGUUUAAGAUCAAAUAGUGCACAAACCUGCAUUUGGAAACAGAGACCUCAUCACAGCUGAGGUCAGCUUCUUGUCCACAUACAGUUUUUUAACUCAACAGGCAUGCAUGUACCUUAAUGCAUUUACAGAAAAUUCUGGUUUAGGGCCAAAGGAAAUUCGUCACUGCUGUAUUGACUGAGAAAGAGUUCUGUCAUAUUUACAAGCCUUGACAAUUCUUUUGGAGGACAUGAGAGCUGUCACUGGUCACUACUGACAUUCUGCUCUGUCAAUUUAUGAAUCAACAGCCCAGCUUCAAACUGCAUCCAGCCGUAUGCUGACAAUGGUUGGGAAAAUCCCACCUCCCUGGAGCAACUGUUCCUUGCCCCAAGCAGCAGCAGCACAUCACCCCAGGACCAAAGGCUUCCCUCCUGAACAAGCUGCUCACUGGGGGUCAGGGAAAUCAGUUAUUUCACUUGAUGAAAGGAGAGCACACAUCUGCCUCACCCCAGCAGGGCAGUGCAAGCUCCUAUGUACUCAGGUGCCAGAAGCCUCUGGGACUGCAGAGUUGGGCCCCUGCUGCUCAGGGGUUCCACUGAUGUGCAACAUCUGCAAACCUCUGUCUUGCCAAAAUGAACAGUUUCCAGUUUACCUGGUAAACUCCAGAGCAGUUUCCAAAGUGCUUUCCCUUAAUUUAGAGUCAUUCCUCUGGUCCCCUCUGAUGCUCUUCUUACACACCUUACAAAGAUGAGCCUGUUACAAACCACUGCUCUUUGGUAAUAACACCUGCUUUGUGUAACAUUUGGUGGCACUUUCAUGCUGGCUACAAAAAUAGGAACACCAAAUAUGACUUGUUUCAAACAAUUUAUUAGGUAGUAAUAAAUAAGAAUUUAGCAGAAAGGACUAUACAGCAAUAAGGCAUAUUGAUAGUAUAGUUGUAUAGGCAACUGACACACCUUCCUAACAUUUUCCUCUAGUUUUCUAAGAAAGUGCUAGGUAGAGAAAUGGAUUUCUGAUACCAGUGCCAAGUGAUAGCAGGGAUGCACGAUGAUGGAGCUGACUGUUGCAUUAUUUACCUUAAAUAAAGCAUAACAAAUCCAUGAAAAUUUACUGUUAUUUAGGCCUGUGAAGUUUAAGUAGAAAAUUACAGCUUGCUAAGAAGAAUACAAAAUACAAGUCUCCUGUUCAUGUUUUUAACAGCUUACUACUUUAAUUUCUCAAACUGCAGUUACUAGUAAGGUAUGAGUAAAGUUACUAUACAACAGCACAGUUCUUCACAUUCAUUUUAGCUUUUAUUUGAAAACUUAGAGGCAAGUGCUAAUUUUUAUUUUUUUAUAAAAGCUUUUUUUUU